AGAGUUUGAUCAUGGCUCAGAGCGAACGCUGGCGGCAGGCUUAACACAUGCAAGUCGAGCGGGCGUAGCAAUACGUCAGCGGCAGACGGGUGAGUAACGCGUGGGAACGUACCUUUUGGUUCGGAACAACUGAGGGAAACUUCAGCUAAUACCGGAUAAGCCCUUACGGGGAAAGAUUUAUCGCCGAAAGAUCGGCCCGCGUCUGAUUAGCUAGUUGGUGAGGUAAUGGCUCACCAAGGCGACGAUCAGUAGCUGGUCUGGGAGGAUGAUCAGCCACAUUGGGACUGAGACACGGCCCAAACUCCUACGGGAGGCAGCAGUGGGGAAUAUUGGACAAUGGGCGAAAGCCUGAUCCAGCCAUGCCGCGUGAGUGAUGAAGGCCCUAGGGUUGUAAAGCUCUUUUGUGCGGGAAGAUAAUGACGGUACCGCAAGAAUAAGCCCCGGCUAACUUCGUGCCAGCAGCCGCGGUAAUACGAAGGGGGCUAGCGUUGCUCGGAAUCACUGGGCGUAAAGGGUGCGUAGGCGGGUCUUUAAGUCAGAGGUGAAAUCCUGGAGCUCAACUCCAGAACUGCCUUUGAUACUGAGGAUCUUGAGUUCGGGAGAGGUGAGUGGAACUGCGAGUGUAGAGGUGAAAUUCGUAGAUAUUCGCAAGAACACCAGUGGCGAAGGCGGCUCACUGGCCCGAUACUGACGCUGAGGCACGAAAGCGUGGGGAGCAAACAGGAUUAGAUACCCUGGUAGUCC
rnacentral:rRNA from 1 species